GUUUGACAUUUCAAAAUAAACAUUUUAUUUUAGAUCAAAUUUGGACCAAAUUUAUUAGUUCAUCGGUUUUUAGUUCUUAUAUUAUAAUCCAUGGUUUUGCAUGAAAUCAAGCGUCGGAUUACCUAAAUGGUUAUAUAAUAAUAAAUACUUUGCUUCGCAGUUACUGCUAGACCCCUAGACGUGUAAACACAAACACUGACUCAUAACUUCGCUUGCUGAAACGAAAUGAUUACAUCAAAAGUGAGCAUUUUGUGUACAAAGAACAGAUAUGUUUUAUUUUUAUGGAAAUUCUUCACAUCCAUCAUAUACAACUCUGUAAAAGUCACAGGUCACAGGAAUAACUUCACAGGUUUUUCGAAAACCGUACAGAAAUAUAAACGAUUAGAAUGAAAUAAAAGAAAAAGGAACCUUUUCCAAGAAAGUCGUGAUUUGAAGUUUUUUUUCCUUAGGUCCAUAAAUAUUGAGAAUGAUAAAAAAAUUC